GUAACCAGCCCGGGGAUGACUGCGCGAAUUGCGAGCCCAUCCUACCCGGCUCUCUUCCCCCUGGUCUCCUGCGUCAGCCCCCCAUCCGAAUACGAGGUGGCCCUGGGCUGCCUGGCCCAGGACUUCCUGCCCAGCUCCAUCACCUUCUCCUGGAAAUCCAAGAGCAAAACAGAGGACGAAAUCCAGAACAUCCGGACCUUCCCGUCUGUCCUGAGGAAUGGCAAGUACGUGGCCUCCUCCCAGGUGGUCCUGCCGACCGCCAGCGUCCUGAAGGAGCAUCGUUACAGCCUUGAGUGCCACGUCAAGCACUACAACGACACGUCUGUGGACGUCACCUAUGAGACCGCAGUGCAGCCCCCCAACGUGAGUGUCUUCGUCCCCCCCCGAGAGGCGUUCUCCGGCUCUCCCCAGCGCACGUCCAGGCUCAUCUGCCAGGCAACAGACUUCAGCCCCAAGCAGAUCUCCUUGUCCUGGUUUCGUGAGGGAAAGCAGCUGAAUAACGUAACCCAAAGCCUGGUGGAGGCUGUACCGUCCUCCUCGCCCAUGACCUUCAGGACCUACAGCAUGGUGACCAUCACGGAGCUGGACUGGCUCAGCCAGAACAUGUUCACAUGUAAGGUGGAGCACCACGGAGAGAUCAUCCAGAAGAACGUGUCCUCCAUGAGCAGCGGCCCCAGCAUCGGCGUCUACACCAUCCCCCCCUCCUUCGCCGGCAUCUUCCUCACCAAGUCAGCCAAGGUUUCCUGCCUGGUCACAAACCUGAUCUCCUACGACGGCCUGAGCAUCUCCUGGACCAGCCAGGAUGGCGAGGUCCUGAAGACCAAAACCAAAUACUCUGAGAGCCACCCCAAUGGCACCUUCAGCGCCGUGGGUGAGGCCUCUCUCUGCGUGGAAGACUGGGAGUCAGGAGACAGGUUCACGUGCACGGUGACCCACACAGAUCUGCCCUCACCACUGAAGCGCAGCAUCUCCAGGCCCAAAGAGGUCGCCAAGCACAUGCCGUCCGUGUACGUGCUGCCUCCCACGCGGGAACAGCUGAGCCUGCGGGAGUCUGCCUCCGUCACCUGCCUGGUGAAGGGCUUCUCGCCUGCGGACGUGUUCGUGCAGUGGCUGCAGAAGGGGCAGCCCAUGUCCCCCGACAAGUACGUGACCAGCGCCCCAGUACCUGAGCCCCAGGACCCCAAGGUCUACUUCGUGCACAGCCUGCUGACGGUGAGCGAGGAGGACUGGAACAGCGGGGAGACCUACACCUGCGUCGUGGGCCACGAGGCCCUGCCCCACAUGGUGACCGAGAGGACCGUGGACAAGUCCACCGAGGGGGAGGUGAGCGCCGAGGAGGAGGGCUUCGAGAACCUCAACACCAUGGCAUCCACCUUCAUCGUCCUCUUCCUCCUGAGCCUCUUCUACAGCACCACGGUCACCCUGUUCAAGGUGAAGUGACGGCCAGCCACGAACGUGGGGGACCAGAGAAGGAACGAGAGGGGCGCCGCCUUGGGGCCGGAGUCCCUGGCCUGUGUGGCUUGUCCACGUGUACUGAAAUCGUCCCCAAGUCCCUCUCCAGCUUCAAGCGCCGAGAAACCAGCUUCUCUAGAUGUGGCCAAAUGCCGUAGCCAAGCACGCAGCCCACGGCCUUGGGCUCCGCCCGGCCCUGCUUUGCAAUGUCACGCGUGUGGCCUUGAAAUAAAUAUGUAUA